GCAGUCGCCGCGGUAAUACAGAGGGUGCGAGCGUUAAUCGGAUUUACUGGGCGUAAAGCGUGCGUAGGCGGCUUCUUAAGUCGGAUGUGAAAUCCCUGAGCUUAACUUAGGAAUUGCAUUCGAUACUGGGAAGCUAGAGUAUGGGAGAGGAUGGUAGAAUUCCAGGUGUAGCGGUGAAAUGCGUAGAGAUCUGGAGGAAUACCGAUGGCGAAGGCAGCCAUCUGGCCUAAUACUGACGCUGAGGUACGAAAGCAUGGGGAGCAAACAGGAUUAGAUACCCCAGUAGUCCCUGUCUCUUAUAA
rnacentral:rRNA from 1 species